rnacentral:rRNA from 1 species
CCCUUAGAUGUUCUGGGCCGCACGCGCGCUACACUGACUGGUGCAACAAGUGUCGCUCCUUGGCCGAUAGGCCUGGGCAAUCUUUGAACGCCAGUCGUGAUGGGGAUAGAUUCUUGCAAUUUUUGAUCUUCAACGAGGAAUUCCUAGUAAACGCGAGUCAUCAACUCGCAUUGAUUACGUUCCUGCCCUUUGUACACACCGCCCGUCGCACCUACCGAUUGAAUGGUCCGGUGAACCCUCCGGAUCGGCCCGCGCCAACGCAAGUUGAGCAAAGGCCGAGAAGUUGGGUAAACCUUACCAUUUAGAGGAAGGUGAAGUCGUANCA